AUUAGACAUGUGUACGCGUGUGAAUUAAAGUAUAUAAUGAGUUUUGAGGGACAAAGGAGUAGUUGAUGACAGGGGAGUAAAUUAAGUGUACUUCAGAUUAAAGGAUGAAAUAAAUAAGAAAAAGUGGUUCCCCAUGAACCAAUGUAUAUACUUCCACUCCCCUCUGUUCCUUAAAGUUAUAGUAUAUUCUAGAUUUUCCACGUAUUUUAAUAAAACACAUUAAAUUUGUAUUGUUUUUUGUGUUUAUUUUUUUUCCAUAAUUUUAAGCCAAUAAAAAUUUA
rnacentral:lncRNA from 1 species